rnacentral:tRNA from 1 species
GCGCCUGUAGUUCAGCCAAGUAGAACAGGGACCCUUUAAGCCUCAAGUCGUGGGAGCGAAGCCCACCGGGCGCGCCA